AAUGCGUUAAGCUAACCAGUACUAAUUGCUCGUGCGGCUUGACCCUAUAACUUUG
rnacentral:rRNA from 1 species